rnacentral:rRNA from 1 species
GAUGAACGCUGGCGGCGUGCCUAAUACAUGCAAGUCGAGCGAACAGACGAGGAGCUUGCUCCUCUGACGUUAGCGGCGGACGGGUGAGUAACACGUGGAUAACCUACCUAUAAGACUGGGAUAACUUCGGGAAACCGGAGCUAAUACCGGAUAAUAUAUUGAACCGCAUGGUUCAAUAGUGAAAGACGGUUUGCUGUCACUUAUAGAUGGAUCCGCGCCGCAUUAGCUAGUUGGUAAGGUAACGGCUUACCAAGGCAACGAUGCGUAGCCGACCUGAGAGGGUGAUCGGCCACACUGGAACUGAGACACGGUCCAGACUCCUACGGGAGGCAGCAGUAGGGAUUCUUCCGCAAUGGGCGAAAGCCUGACGGAGCAACGCCGCGUGAGUGAUGAAGGUCUUCGGAUCGUAAAACUCUGUUAUUAGGGAAGAACAAAUGUGUAAGUAACUAUGCACGUCUUGACGGUACCUAAUCAGAAAGCCACGGCUAACUACGUG